rnacentral:rRNA from 1 species
UACGGUAGGGUGCGAGCGUUAAUCGGAAUUACUGGCGUAAAGGCGUGCGCAGGCGGUUUGUUAAGACAGGUGUGAAAUCCCCGGGCUUAAACCUCGGGGAAUGGCGCUUGGUAACUGGCAAGCUAGAGUGUGUCAGAGGGAGGUAGAAUUCCACGUGUAGCAGUGAAAUGCGUAGAGAUGUGGAGGAAUACCGAUGGCGAAGGCAGCUCGCUGGGCCGAUACUGACACUGAGGAGCGAAAGCGUGGGGAGCGAACAGG